rnacentral:misc_RNA from 1 species
GUAUCGCAAGAUGCGGAAAAUAGCAUCCAAAUGAGGUUCACAAGGAUCAUGCAUAUACUGACUCACCAGACUUACAAUAUAGGCUAUGUCUGGUCUAGUCUGAGAGAGAUAAAUCAAUCUCCCAACUAACCUCUGAUAUCUUUCUAUGUCAACUGCCGCCCCAAUUCCAGUUUGUAGCUGUUGAUUAGCUUCAAUAGGAGAUUCU